rnacentral:lncRNA from 1 species
CUGCCCCACCUUAACUGAUGACAUUCCACCACAAAAGAAGUGUAAAUGGCUGGUCCUUGCCUUAAGUGAUGACAUUACCUUGUGAAAGUCCUUUUCCUGGCUCAUCCUGGCUCAAAAAGCACCCCCACUGAGCACCUUGUGACCCCCACUCCUGCCCGCCAGAGAACAAACCCCCUUUGACUGUAAUUUUCCUUUACCUACCCCACCUUAACUGAUGACAUUCCACCACAAAAGAGGUGUAAAUGGCUGGUCCUUGCCUUAAGUGAUGACAUUACCUUGUGAAAGUCCUUUUCCUGGCUCAUCCUGGCUCAAAAAGCACCCCCACUGAGCACUUUCCAACCCCCACUCCUGCCUGCCAGAGAACAAACCCCCUUUGACUGUAAUUUUCCUUUACCUACCCAAAUCCUAUAAAAUGGCCCCACCCUUAUCUCCCUUCGCUGACUCUCUUUUUGGACUCAGCCCGCCUGCACCCAGGUGAAAUCAACAGCCAUGGUGCUCACACAAAGCCUGUUUGGUGGUCUCUUCACACGGACGCGAAUGAAACUGACCAUAACAAGUAUUAGCAAGAAUAUGGAGCAACUGGAACUCUCAUACCAGAUAAAAUUGUACA